rnacentral:misc_RNA from 1 species
UCAAAACAAGAGUCAAAACUCAAUAAGUUGUUUAUGUACAGAAUAGAACCUACGGAAUAUUUCAAGUCUUCUCGUAGCGUACAAGGGAUUGUUCGAAAACAAGUAAUUGCAUGAGAAAAAUGGCGGUUAAGCAAUCUUUGAAAAAACAAGUCACAAGGGUAAGAAGCUUUUAUUGCAAGUUUGGAAGUAGCUCAACAAACAAUAACCAAAACGAGUACUAAAAGCUGCCCUCUUAUGGUUCUGCACCACUAUGAUUUCACUCUACAUCCCUGCUAUCAG